GAUGAAGAACGCAGCAAAAUGCGAUAAGUAAUGUGAAUUGCAGAAUUCAGUGAAUCAUCGAAUCUUUGAACGCACAUUGCGCCCGCUGGUAUUCCGGCGGGCAUGCCUGUUCGAGCGUCAUUUCAACCAUCAAGCCCCCGGCUUGUGUUGGGGACCUGCGGCUGCCGCAGGCCCUGAAAAGCAGUGGCGGGCUCGCUGUCACACCGAGCGUAGUAGCAUACAUCUCGCUCUGGGCGUGCUGCGGGUUCCGGCCGUUAAACCACCUUCAUAACCCAAGGUUGACCUCGGAUCAGGUAGGAAGACCCGCUGAACUUAAGCAUAUCAAUAAGCGGAGGA
rnacentral:misc_RNA from 1 species